rnacentral:rRNA from 1 species
CGCCAGACUCCUACGGGAGGCAGCAGUGGGGAAUAUUGCACAAUGGGGGAAACCCUGAUGCAGCGACGCCGCGUGAGCGAUGAAGUAUUUCGGUAUGUAAAGCUCUAUCAGCAGGGAAGAAGAUGACGGUACCUGACUAAGAAGCCCCGGCUAACUACGUGCCAGCAGCCGCGGUAAUACGUAGGGGGCAAGCGUUAUCCGGAUUUACUGGGUGUAAAGGGAGCGUAGACGGCGAUGCAAGCCAGAUGUGAAAGCCCGGGGCUCAACCCCGGGACUGCAUUUGGAACUGUGUGGCUGGAGUGUCGGAGAGGUAAGUGGAAUUCCUAGUGUAGCGGUGAAAUGCGUAGAUAUUAGGAGGAACACCAGUGGCGAAGGCGGCUUACUGGACUGUAACUGACGUUGAGGCUCGAAAGCGUGGGGAGCAAACAGGAUUAGAUACCCGGGUA